GAUGAACGCUGGCGGCGUGCCUAAUACAUGCAAGUCGAGCGAACGGACGAGAAGCUUGCUUCUCUGAUGUUAGCGGCGGACGGGUGAGUAACACGUGGAUAACCUACCUAUAAGACUGGGAUAACUUCGGGAAACCGUGGCUAAUACCGGAUAAUAUUUUGAACCGCAUGGUUCAAAAGUGAAAGACGGUCUUGCUGUCACUUAUAGAUGGAUCCGCGCUGCAUUAGCUAGUUGGUAAGGUAACGGCUUACCAAGGCAACGAUGCGUAGCCGACCUGAGAGGGUGAUCGGCCACACUGGAACUGAGACACGGUCCAGACUCCUACGGGAGGCAGCAGUAGGGAAUCUUCCGCAAUGGGCGAAAGCCUGACGGAGCAACGCCGCGUGAGUGAUGAAGGUCUUCGGAUCGUAAAACUCUGUUAUUAGGGAAGAACAUAUGUGUAAGUAACUGUGCACAUCUUGACGGUACCUAAUCAGAAAGCCACGGCUAACUACGUG
rnacentral:rRNA from 1 species